rnacentral:lncRNA from 10 species
ACCCCGUCUCUGCUAAACAAAAUACAAAAAAUUAGCCGGGCGUGGUGGCAGGCGCCUGUAGUCCCAGCUGCUCGGGAGGCUGAGGCAGGAGAAUGGCGUGAACCUGGGAGGCGGAGCUUGCAGUGAGCCAGAUCGUGCCACUGCACUCCAGCCUGGGUGACAGAGCGAGACUCCGUCUCAAAAAAGAAAGAAGGGGGGCGGGGAGAGAGAGAGAGAGAGAGAAAGAAAGCAGGAAUAGCUAUAUUAAUUUCAGACAGAGCAGAAUUCAAUGAAGGAAAAGUUAUCAGGGAUAGGCCGGCCACAGUGGGUCAGGCCUGUAAUCUCAGCACUUUGGGAAGACAAGGCAGGUGAGUCACUUGAGCUCAGGAGUUCAAGACCAGCCUGGGCAACAUGGUAAAACCCCAUCUCUAACAAAAAUACAAAAAUUAGCCGAGCAUGGUGGCGCAUGCCUGUGGUGCCAGCUACUCGGGAGGCUGAGGUAGGGGGAUCACCAGACCCCAGAAGUCAAGGCUGUAAUGAGCCAUGAGCUGUGAUUGCACCACUGCAUUCCAGCCUGAGCAAUAGAGUAAGACACUGUCAAAAAAAAAAAAAAAAAGAGUUAUCAGGGAUAAAGAGAAGCAUUAUGUAAUGAUUAAGAAGUUAUUUCUCCAAGAAGACAUAACAGUCCUUAAAGUGUAUGUGACUAGCAACAUAAUAUCAAAAUAUGUGAGGUAAAAACUGAUAGAACUGCAAAGAAAAACAGAUGAAUCCAUUGUCAUAGUUGGAGAUUUCAACAUAUUGCUAUCAGAAAUAAACAGAUCCAGCACAAAGAAAAUCAGUAAAGACACAGUUGAACUCAACAACACCAUCAAUCAACUGAAUAAUAUUGACAUCUGUAGACGACUUCAUUUAACAACAGCAAAAUACACAUUUUUCUUAAGCUCAUAGGGAACAUUCACUAGGAGAGACUACAUUUUGGGCCAUAAAAUACACUUUAACCCACUUAGGAGAAUAGAAAUUAUACAAUGCCUGCUCUCAGACAACAAUGGAAUUUAACUAGAAAUCAAUAAUGGAAAAAUAACCUAGAAAUCCCAAAAUAUUUGGAGAUUAAACAAUAUACUUCUAAUUUACAUAUGAGCCAAAGAAGAAAUUUCAAGAGAAAUUUAAAAAUAUUUUGAAUUAAAUGAAAGUGAAAAUAUAAUCAAAAUUUGUGGGAAGCAGUUAAAACAGUGAUUAGAGGGAAAUUAACACCAUUGAAUGCAUAUAUUAGAAAAAAUGAAAGAUCUAAAAUCAAUUUUAGCUUUCACCUUAGGAAAACAGAAAAAGAAGAGUUAAUUAAAUACAAAGUAAGUAGAAGAAAACAAAUAAUAAAAAUUAGAGCAGAAAUCAAUGAAAUUUAAAACAGAAAAUAGAGAAAAUCAUUGAAACCAAAAAGCUUGUUCUUGAAAAAGAGCAAUAAAAGCAAAACACUUCUAGUAAUCUAACUAUAAAAACAAUUGAGAAGGCAUAAAUUACUAAUAUUAGAAAUGAAAGAGGGGAACAUCACUACAGAUCCCAUGAAGAUUAAAAGGGUGAUAAAAACUCUAUGCCCAAAAACAAAAACAAGAAAAAAACUCUACGCUCAUAAAUUUGAUAGCCUAAAUGAAAUGGACCAAUUUCUUGAAAGAUACGAUCUGGCAAAACUCACACAAGAAGAAACAAUCUGAAUAGGCCUAUAUCUAUUUUUUAAAUGGAAUCAAUAAUUGAUAACUUUCAGAAACAGAAAGUACCAGGUCCAGAUGGUCUAACUGGUGAAUUCUAUGAAACAUUUAAGGAAGAAAUUAUGCAAAUUAUCUAUAGUCUCUUUCAAAAGAUAGAAGUAGAGAGAAUCUUUCGUAACUAAUUUUUUUUUUUUUUGAGAUGGAUUUUCGCUCGUCACCCAGGUUGGAGUGCAACGGUGCCAUCUCAGCUCACUGCAACCUCCACCUCCUGUGAUCAAGCGAUUCUCCUGCCUCAGCCUCCCAAGUAGCUGGAACUACAGGCACCUGUCACCACGCCCGGCUAAUUUUUGUAUUUUUAGUAGAGGCGGAGUCUCGCCAUGUUGGCCAGGCUGGGCUC